GGGCCCGUAGCUCAGCGGCAGAGCACGCGGCUCAUAACCGCUUGGUCGCAGGUUCGAAUCCUGCCGGGCCCA
rnacentral:tRNA from 4 species